rnacentral:rRNA from 1 species
GACGAACGCUGGCGGCGUGCUUAACACAUGCAAGUCGAACGGAAAGGCCCUGCUUUUGUGGGGUGCUCGAGCGGCGAACGGGUGCGUAACACGUGAGUAACCUGCCCUUGACUUUGGGAUAACUUUAGGAAACUGGGGCUACUACCGGAUCGGAUCUCCUGCUGCAUGGUGGGGGUUGGAAAGUUUCGGCGGUUGGGGAUGGACUCGCGGCUUAUCAGCUUGUUGGUGGGGUAGUGGCUUACCCAGGCUUUGACGGGUAGCCGGCCUGAGAGGGUGACCGGCGACAUGGGGACUGAGAGAGGGCGCAGAGUCGAACGGGAGGCAGCAGGGGGGAAUAUGGCACAAUGGGAGGAAGCCGGAUGCAGCAACGCGGCGUGCGGGAUGACGGCCUGCGGGUUGUAAACAGCUUUAGCCUGUGACGAAGCGUGAGUGACGGUAAUGGGUAAAGAAGCACCGGCUAACUACGUG